UCAAGGGCUUCUUUGAUCUUGCGUUUCUUCUCAUAAAACAAACGCUCUUUGCCUUCCAAGCUCUUCCUGUACAAAUACUCUCUCCUCAAUCGUAUAUUUCUUCUCAACAUUUUUUUAUUUUAUUUUUGAGCGCAGCGACUGCCAACCAGAUUUUGCAGGGCUUUGUCUUC